UUUACUCCUUCUCAAGCACCAGUUGAGCAGAUUGUGAUGGAAAAUAGUGUUGAAGACCCGGAGCCUACCCGAGGCUCUGCCCUCACUCAUCGGUGUGGCUUUGGGUAAAAUUGCUCUGGGUUUCAGCAUCUCGAUCUGCAGCAUGAGGGGUAAGGUGUGUUGAUAUCUGAGAUUCCUUCCAAACCUAAGAACUUGACAUCCCUUUUGAAGUGGGCUCUCCUCUCAACCGUGACAAAUACCUUAAUCAGAUGAGGAAGCAGGCUCAGAGAGAUCCAGCUGCUCUCCUGGGAAGUGGGAAGUGUCGAGCUCCACAAGUCUGCCACAUCUCCAGAGUCAGCAGUCUUCAUCCAUCCUUCCAGACAAUUCCAGAGCUGGCUGGCUGCCCACCAUUGGGCACCCGAACUGAGCUCUCAUUCUCUGAAUUUACUGAUAUUUCCAGAGGUCGGUGAGCACCAGUGGGUUGUCUUGUGCUUAUCAUCUUUAUGAAGUCAAGUUCAACCCAAGAACCUCUCUGUUCUAAGAAGAUUAAAAUAAAAAAAGAAUCUCUCUCAU